GGAUAACUCUCCGAAAGGAGAGCUAAUACAGCAUGAGACCACGGCUUCGUUGAAGCUGCGGCCAAAGCAGGCCUCUACAUGUAAGCUUGCGCUUGAGGAUGAGUCUGCGGCCCAUCAGCUAGUUGGUAGGGUAAUGGCCUACCAAGGCCAAGACGGGUAGCUGGUCUGAGAGGAUGAACAGCCACACUGGAACUGAGGCACGGUCCAGACUCCUACGGGAGGCAGCAGUGGGGAAUCUUGCGCAAUGGGCGAAAGCCUGACGCAGCGACGCCGCGUGAGCGAUGAAGGCCUUCGGGUUGUAAAGCUCUGUGGGGAGGAAAGAAUAAGGCUUGGCUAAUAUCCAAGCUGAUGACGGUCCUCUUAGCAAGCACCGGCUAACUCUGUGCCAGCAGCCCGCGGUAAGACAGA
rnacentral:rRNA from 1 species